AUGCACGCUGGCGGCGUGCUUAACCCCUGCCAGUCGAACGAUGAAGCCCAGCUUGCUGGGUGGAUUAGUGGCGAACGGGUGAGUAACACGUGAGUAACCUGCCCUUAACUCUGGGAUAAGCCUGGGAAACUGGGUCUAAUACCGGAUAGGAGCGUCCACCGCAUGGUGGGUGUUGGAAAGAUUUAUCGGUUUUGGAUGGACUCGCGGCCUAUCAGCUUGUUGGUGAGGUAAUGGCUCACCAAGGCGACGACGGGUAGCCGGCCUGAGAGGGUGACCGGCCACACUGGGACUGAGACACGGCCCAGACUCCUACGGGAGACAGCAGUGGGGAAUAUUGCACAAUGGGCGCAAGCCUGAUGCAGCGACGCCGCGUGAGGGAUGACGGCCUUCGGGUUGUAAACCUCUUUCAGUAGGGAAGAAGCGAAAGUGACGGUACCUGCAGAAGAAGCACCGGCUAACUACGUG
rnacentral:rRNA from 1 species